rnacentral:rRNA from 1 species
UGAGGAAUAUUGGUCAAUGGGCGAGAGCCUGAACCAGCCAAGUAGCGUGCAGGAUGACGGCCCUAUGGGUUGUAAACUGCUUUUAUGUGGGGAUAAAGUGCGUGACGUGUCAUGCAUUGCAGGUACCACAUGAAUAAGGACCGGCUAAUUCCGUGCCAGCAGCCGCGGUAAUACGGAAGGUCCGGGCGUUAUCCGGAUUUAUUGGGUUUAAAGGGAGCGUAGGCUGUCUAUUAAGCGUGUUGUGAAAUUUACCGGCUCAACCGGUGGCUUGCAGCGCGAACUGGUCGACUUGAGUAUGCAGGAAGUAGGCGGAAUUCAUGGUGUAGCGGUGAAAUGCUUAGAUAGCAUGACGAACUCCGAUGGCGCAGGCAGCUUACUGUAGCAUAACUGACGCUGAUGCUCGAAAGUGCGGGUAUCAAACAGG